rnacentral:rRNA from 1 species
CUGUAAACGAUGUCGAUUUGGAGUUUGUUGCCUAGAGUGAUGGGCUCCGAAGCUAACGCGAUAAAUCGACCGCUGGGGAGUACGGCCGCAAGGUUAAAACUCAAAUGAAUUGACGGGGGCCCGCACAGCGGUGAAGCAUGUGGUUUAAUUCGAUGCAACGCGAAGAACCUUACCUGGUCUUGACAUCCAUAGAAUUCUGCAGAGAUGUGGGAGUGCCUUCGGGAACUAUGAGACAGGUGCUGCAUGGCUGUCGUCAGCUCGUGUUGUGAAAUGUUGGGUUAAGUCCCGCAACGAGCGCAACCCUUAUUCUUUGUUGCCAGCGAUUUGGUCGGGAACUCAAAGGAGACUGCCGUUGAUAAAGCGGAGGAAGGUGGGGACGACGUCAAGUCAUCAUGGCCCUUACGACCAGGGCUACACACGUGCUACAAUGGCGUAUACAAAGGGAAGCGAAGGUGCGAGCUGGAGCGGAUCUCAUAAAGUACGUCUAAGUUCGGAUUGGAGUCUGCAACUCGACUCCAUGAAGUCGGAAUCGCUAGUAAUCGUAGAUCAGAAUGCUACGGUGAAUACGUUCCCGGGCCUUGUACACACCGCCCGUCACACCAUGGGAGUGGGUUGCACCAGAAGUAGAUAGCUUAACCGCGAGGGGGGCGUUUACCACGGUGUGAUUCAUGACUGGGGUGAAGUCGUAACAAGGUAACCA